CGGGGAUCCGGCCUGAGAGGGUGAACGGACACACUGGAACUGAGACACGGUCCAGACUCCUACGGGAGGCAGCAGUAGGGAAUAUUGCAUCAAUGGGGGAAACCCUGAAGCAGCAACGCCGCGUGGAGGAUGAAGGUUUUAGGAUUGUAAACUCCUUUUGUUAGAGAAGAUAAUGACGGUAUCUAACGAAUAAGCACCGGCUAACUCCGUGCCAGCAGCCGCGGUAAUACGGAGGGUGCAAGCGUUACUCGGAAUCACUGGGCGUAAAGAGCGCGUAGGCGGGAUAGUCAGUCAGGUGUGAAAUCCUAUGGCUUAACCAUAGAACUGCAUUUGAAACUACUAUUCUAGAGUGUGGGAGAGGUAGGUGGAAUUCUUGGUGUAGGGGUAAAAUU
rnacentral:rRNA from 1 species